GGGGUGUAGCUCAGUUGGUUAGAGCGCUGGCCUGUCACGCCAGAGGCCGCGGGUUCGAGUCCCGUCACUCC
rnacentral:tRNA from 4 species